UUUCUUCAUCAAUGUCGACUGUUUAACUUCAGUCGUCACAUCUGCUGGUUUUAUGAUGAUGUUAUCAACAUGGAGAUGCUUGGAAGAAAAACGGCUGCAGAGAUCAACGAGGGGAAACCAGUGAACGAGGAGUAAAACAACAUCAUGUCUUCCCGACUUCUCUCUGGCCAUCACAAGUGUGUGUCCGGCCUGAGCUGACAGUGCUACAGAUCACUGCAUUGCAUGCUGGAACGCCUCCUGUGAUUGGUUGUUUUCUAUGUCUCUCGGGCAGAAACCUGGAUACCAUGCUGGCGCAAACCCUUGCUUGCUAGGAGUGCUGCCAAGUUUUGGG